GCCCGGGUGGCGGAAUGGCAGACGCAGCGGACUCAAAAUCCGCCGGGGGCAACCCCAUGCGAGUUCGACUCUCGCCUCGGGCA
rnacentral:tRNA from 1 species